AUACGUAGGGGGCGAGCGUUGUCCGGAAUGAUUGGGCGUAAAGGGCGCGUAGGCGGCCCGGUAAGUCUGGAGUGAAAGUCCUGUUUUUAAGAUGGGAAUUGCUUUGGAUACUGUCGGGCUUGAGUGCAGGAGAGGUAAGUGGAAUUCCCAGUGUAGCGGUGAAAUGCGUAGAGAUUGGGAGGAACACCAGUGGCGAAGGCGACUUACUGGACUGUAACUGACGCUGAGGCGCGAAAGUGUGGGGAGCAAACAGGAUUAGAUACCCUGGUAGUCCACACUGUAAACGAUGAAUGCUAGGUGUAGGGGGUAUCGACCCCUUCUGUGCCGCAGUCAACACGAUAAGCAUUCCGCCUGGGGAGUACGGCCGCAAGGUUGAAACUCAAAGGAAUUGACGGGG
rnacentral:rRNA from 1 species